rnacentral:tRNA from 1 species
GCCCCGAUAGCUCAGCCUGGCUUAGAGCGGUGAUCUCGUAAAACUUCGAGAAAGUCACAAGACGGGGGUUCAAAUCCCCCUCAGGGCU